rnacentral:rRNA from 1 species
AGAGUGAACGCUGGCGGCAGGCCUAAUACAUGCAAGUCGAACGGCAGCACGGCAGAGCUUGCUCUGUGGGUGGCGAGUGGCGGGCGGGUGAGGAAUACAUGGGAAUCUGCCCAGUCGUGGGGGAUAACGUAGGGAAACUUACGCUAAUACCGCAUGCGCCCUUCGGGGGAAAGCCGGGGACCUUCGGGCCUCGCGCCAUUAGAUGAGCCUAGGUCGGAUUAGCUAGUUGGUGAGGUAAUGGCUCACCAAGGCGACGAUCCGUAACUGGUCUGAGAGGAUGAUCAGUCACGCUGGAACUGAGACACCGGUCCAGACUCCUACGGGAGCAGCAGGUGGGAA